rnacentral:ncRNA from 1 species
CAGAAAAAUGAUUAAAAGGGAAUCAGGUGAGAAUCCUGAACAGUCCCGUUGCUGUAUGUUUCAUAAAAGCGUGAUGAACACUACCUCAUGCCACUGAGAGGCUUCUAAGCCGAUUGGGAAGGCGUUUAUUCACGGAAACGAGUCAGAAGACCUGCCAUGCAACAU